ACCUGGACGAGCUCUGAUGCCACUGAUAGUAUGCGUGCAGAGGGCUAAGCAUGAAUUUCAGAAAAUUUUUAUGCGGAAAGAACGGGUCAAACAUUUUAACCCAUAACAUGCUUGAUAUUUUAGAUAUUUUAACUCUGGUACCAGUCGAAGACAAUCUUCAAAUGCACAUCACAUGUGGCACGGGCUCAGUCCCAAUACAUAGGGUGACACCCGCACGUGCCUAUCAAAGCACUCAUCAUAUGAGCCCCCGGGUGGAGAGCCACGCUUCGUCACACGAUCACGCGUGAGAGUUCCCGAGAAUCGGAUAGUCUCCACUAAUCCUUUGCUUUGACACCAAAUAUCACAAAGCUCUCAGAUCCCGAGGAUUGUGUGAUUCGAAUAAAUAUGCAUAAAUCACAACUUCUUGUGAUUUGAAGAUUGAGAUCAUAUCUCAACCGUAAAAGAGAUCAGGUCUCUUACCUUUAGAAGGGGGUUCCUUCAAGGAUGCUUCGCAGCCGCACAAGCGUCCGGCCUCGAUGACUCGUCCACGCGAAGCUCCGGAAUGAUCAACUUCCCGGGGAGUGCUAGCUCGCAGGGAGGCAGAAGGUUGGCUGAAAUGGAGAAGGAAGAAGAUGGACCUUCACAGCUCAAGAACUCCUUCUUGGGCUUUCACCUUCAGAGCUACUCUCUCCUCUCACUCUCUUUCUCUGG
rnacentral:lncRNA from 1 species